rnacentral:lncRNA from 1 species
GAAGUGGCCUUUGGAAACGGUUACCAAAUGACCGAAAUAAGGAUGAAGAGAACAAAAAGGUCCAUAAAAUGAAUACUAUUUGCAAUUUGAGGAAGAAAAGUUUCACAACUUUGGGUCGGUGGAUAUAGAAAAGAUGAAACUUGUGUUAAAAAACGAGGGUGCCUAGCCAAAUAUUCGGCCUCCUAGGCCCUCAAUGUUAAGAUACCGAUUAAGACCAUCUCCAAUGAUUCAAUCUAUUUUUCGCUCU